rnacentral:rRNA from 1 species
UGGUUUAAUUCGAUGAUACGCGAGGAACCUUACCAAGGCUUAAAUGUAGAUUGACCGUUUUGGAAACAGAACUUUCGCAAGACAAUUUACAAGGUGCUGCAUGGUUGUCGUCAGCUCGUGCCGUGAGGUGUCAGGUUAAGUCCUAUAACGAGCGCAACCCCUGUUGUUAGUUGCCAGCGAGUCAAGUCGGGAACUCUAACAAGACUGCCAGUGUAAACUGUGAGGAAGGUGGGGAUGACGUCAAAUCAUCACGGCCCUUACGCCUUGGGCUACACACGUGCUACAAUGGACGGUACAGAGAGCAGCCACCUCGCAAGGGGGAGCGAAUCUACAAAACCGUUCUCAGUUCGGAUCGGAGUCUGCAACUCAACUCCGUGAAGCUGGAAUCGCUAGUAAUCGGAUAUCAGCCAUGAUCCGGUGAAUACGUUCCCGGGCCUUGUACACUCCGCC